AGCAGUGGGGAAGUCUUGGACAAUGGGCGGAAAGCCCGAUCCAGCAAUAUCGCGUGAGUGAAGAAGGGCAAUGCCGCUUGUAAAGCUCUUUUCGUCGAGUGCGCGAUCAUGACAGGACUUCGAGGAAGAAGCCCCGGCUAACUCCGUGCCAG
rnacentral:rRNA from 1 species